GAUGAACGCUGGCGGCGUGCUUAACACAUGCAAGUCGAACGAUGAAGCCCAGCUUGCUGGGUGGAUUAGUGGCGAACGGGUGAGUAACACGUGAGUAACCUGCCCCUAAAUCUGGGAUAAGCCGGGGAAACUGGGUCUAAUAACGGAUAGGAGCGUCCACCGCACGGAGGGUGUUGGAAAGAUUUAUCGGUUUUGGAUGGACUCGCGGCCUAUCAGCUUGUUGGUGAGGUAAUGGCUCACCAAGGCGACGACGGGUAGCCGGCCUGAGAGGGUGACCGGCCACACUGGUGCUGAGACGAGGCCCAGACUCCUACGGGAGGCGGCAGUGGGGAAUAUUGCACAAUGGGCGAAAGCCUGAUGCAGCGACGCCGCGUGAUGGAUGACGGCCUUCGGGUUGUAAUCCUCUUUCAGUAGGGAAGAAGCGAAAGUGACGGUACCUGCAGAAGAAGCACCGGCUAACUACGUG
rnacentral:rRNA from 1 species